rnacentral:ncRNA from 2 species
UGCCAUCGUGGAGAUGGCAUUCCUCCCUUAACCGUCGGGUUUCCCGUCUGAUGAUGCCUGCUAGAUU